UUCCUCGUAGCUCAACAGGUAGAGCCGUGGCACCGCAAGGUGGCCGCACAGACGUCGGUUCGAGCCCGACCGAGGGAA
rnacentral:tRNA from 1 species